rnacentral:rRNA from 1 species
GUUGUAUGGUUAAGUGACUAAGCGUACACGGUGGAUGCCUUGGCAGUCAGAGGCGAUGAAGGACGUAUUAACUUGCGAUAAGCCCAGAUUAGGUAGUAACAACCAUUUGAGUCUGGGAUUUCUGAAUGGGGAAACCCACGUGCAUAAGCACGUAUCCUUACCUGAAUACAUAGGGUAAGGAGGCGAACCGGGGGAACUGAAACAUCUAAGUACCCCGAGGAAAAGAAAUCAACCGAGAUUCCGAAAGUAGCGGCGAGCGAAAUUGGACUAGCCCUUAAGCUUUACACGCGUUAGACGAACGGUCUGGAAAGUCCGACGAUACAGGGUGAUAGUCCCGUAGUUGACGACGUGUGUUCAGUGAAAUCGAGUAGGGCGGGACACGUGAUAUCCUGUCUGAAUAUGGGGGGACCAUCCUCCAAGGCUAAAUACUACUGACUGACCGAUAGUGAACCAGUACCGUGAGGGAAAGGCGAAAAGAACCCCUGUGAGGGGAGUGAAAUAGAACCUGAAACCGUGUACGUACAAGCAGUAGGAGCAGGCUUUGUCCUGUGACUGCGUACCUUUUGUAUAAUGGGUCAGCGACUUAUAUUCAGUGGCAAGGUUAACCAUCUAGGGGAGCCGUAGGGAAACCGAGUCUUAACUGGGCGUUCAGUCUCUGGAUAUAGACCCGAAACCAGGUGAUCUAGCCAUGGGCAGGUUGAAGGUUGAGUAACAUCAACUGGAGGACCGAACCGACUAAUGUUGAAAAAUUAGCGGAUGACUUGUGGCUAGGGGUGAAAGGCCAAUCAAACCUGGAGAUAGCUGGUUCUCCCCGAAAGCUAUUUAGGUAGCGCCUCGGACGAAUACUACUGGGGGUAGAGCACUGUUAAGGCUAGGGGGUCAUCCCGACUUACCAACCCUUUGCAAACUCCGAAUACCAGUAAGUACUAUCCGGGAGACACACGGCGGGUGCUAACGUCCGUCGUGGAGAGGGAAACAACCCAGACCGCCAGCUAAGGUCCCAAAUUACUACUAAGUGGGAAACGAUGUGGGAAGGCUCAGACAGCCAGGAUGUUGGCUUAGAAGCAGCCAUCAUU